AGGAGUGAUUCUGUACCAGCUCCGUCAUUUCCUCUGGUUCAAUUACAGCAUCGCUUGCGCCUGUCUUUAUGAGCGCAUUUUAGUAUGAGACAUCUUUGAGGUGGUGUGUAACGAUGUAAAAUGCAUCGAAAACCCACUAAAUUCUGUUGCUGCUCGGACUGAAAUGUGUGCCAAGUCAAAAAAUGAACAUCUGUUUCUACUCUGUGUCAUGGAAUUUCAGCGCUUCUGAUUUUGCUGCAUUCAUUUUAAGGCCCAGGUAAGAGCAAAAGUAACAUGCCUGUCGCAUGAGAGAUUCAGUUAACAUUCAACAACAAACCUGAAUGACCCGAAUUUCCCUCUCUCAAAAAUAGCAAGCUUGGAUUAAGUUUCUGCCGGGUUUCAAACCCGGGGCUUUUCGCGUGAGGAGUGAACGUGAUAACCACUACAAUACAGCAACCACGUCCGGAAUGGUAAACUGUGCUGUCACACAGCAGCUCUCUGGCUCUCUGUUUGGGAGAAAUGGAAUUCAGCUGCUAUAAUUUGGAAUGCUGCAGAUAGAUUCAUAUAACAGUGUCAUCAUAAAAUGGCAAAACACCGUGUAUCUAUACAACGGCUCUUCCAUCGUCCUGUCGCUGUCGGCUUUUUAAAAGUGCAAAUGGAUGAAUCGCAGUUUCCUUCUCUCCUUUAGGAAACUUGUUACUUUUCUGCAUGUCAAUUAAUUGCACAAUUUCCUUUGGAAGAAGGAGGUUCCAUGCCCAGCUUGCCUAAAAUAACACUGUUUUCCUUCAGCCAAUGCCAUGAAGAUUUCGACUUGUGUUCCUUCCGUAGCUAUGCAUAUGAACAUUAUUUACUUUUUCUCUUGAUUUCAUGUCGAAUUGACGAAUGUGCUCAUUUUUCUGAUCAAACACCUCAUUAUGUCUGAGUUAUUUACACAAUCUAAUUACAUUUGCUCCACAACACGUUAAUCGAGGGAAAUUAUUGAUUAAGUUAGACAGAGCCCUGCCAAGAUCACAUGCUGAAAUAGUUCGUUCCAUUUGCUUGGUUUGAAAUAAUUUUGUCCUGGAAAUGAAAUCUUACAGAAUACAUAUUUGUUUAGGGAAAAGAGCAGUGUCGAUCUACCAGAAUGUUUGGAGGGUUCCAAUGGUUAGGCUGAGAGUCUUGACUCUUGUUACAGGAAGACAACUUUUGGUUUCCACUUGGUGCCUCAGUUUGUUUUCAGUUUCAUAAUGCAGAAGGCUCGGUCCAGCAAAUGUCUCAGGCAGUAAUGCUUUCUGCUCAGUCAUUAGGAACACCCUUCUCCUCCUCAGAAGACGGAAUUCGACAAACUUUACUCAGCAGCAUUUUUUUUCCGUUAUUCAACAUUCAGUAUGAUUUUUUUUUAUUUGACAUUGAUGCCCUCGGUUGACUUGUGACUCUGGAAUAUAAAACAACAUCGAAUUGCAAACGUGACUGGCAAACAAAAGAAUGUCAGACACCAGAUAAUGCACUUGAUACGGGUCUGAUUUGAGAUUUAGCACAGCAGUCAGCAUUUCAACAAAAUCAAAGAAUUUUACAGGCAACAGAUUUGAGAAUGAUGCGUUAAUUAGAUCUGAUCCCCCUUUGUCUGUCGUUACGAGCACAAGUUAUCUUUGACAUGGUGAUAAGCCUUUUGGCGUCUAAAUCGCAUCCAUAUAGAAGACAGUAGGGAAGCCAGCAGAUCUGCACUGCACCUCGGUUUCCACGACUCCCUUAGUCAUUUUUCCUGAAACUCUAUUCUGAAGCUCGAUUAUUUGAAGGAGUGAUUCUGUACCAGCUCAGUAAUUUCCUCUGGUUCAAUUACAGCAUCGCUUGCACCUGUCUUUAUGCGUGUACUUCAGUAUGAGACAUCUUUGAGGUAGUGGGUAACGGUGUAAAUCUGCAUCGAAAACCCACCAAAUUCUGUUGCUGCUCGGAUGAACUGCUAAAAUGUGUGCCGAGUCAAAAAAUGAACAUCUAUUUCUACUCAGUGUAUGAUGGAAUUUCAGCGCUUCUGAUUUUGCUGCAUUCAUUUUAAGGCCCAGGUAAGAGCAAAGUAACAUGCCUGUCACAUGAGAGAUUCAGUUAACAUUCAAAAACAAACCUGAAUGACGCAAAUUGCCCUCUCUCAAAAGUAGCCAGCUGGAAUAAUGUUUCUGCCCAGUUUUGAACAGGGGUGCCUUGCAUAUGGGAGGUGAAUGUGAUAACCACUACGCUAUAGAAACACUAGACUGCCAUCAUGGCAGUGAGCCUAUCUGGAAUGUUAAACUGUGCUGUCACGCAGCAGCUCACUGGCUCUUUGGUUGGGAGAAUUGGAACGCCGCUGUUUUAAUUUGGAAUGCUGCAGACAGACUCAUAAAACAAUGUCAUCAUAAAAUGGCAUAGCGUCAUGUAUCCAUACCACGGCCCUUCCAUCAUCAUGUCUCUGUCAGCUUUUUAAAAGUGCAAACGAAUUAAUCGCUGUUUCCUUCUCUCUUUUAGCAAACCUGUUAUUUUUCUGCAUAUCAAUGAAUUGCACAAUUCCCUUUGGAAGAAGGAGUUUCUGUAGAUUCCAUGCCCAGUUUGCCUUAAAAAAUAUAUUUUCCCUCAGCCAUUGCCAUGAA